UACGUAGGUGGCAAGCGUUAUCCGGAUUUACUGGGUGUAAAGGGCGUGUAGGCGGGACUGCAAGUCAGAUGUGAAAACCACGGGCUCAACCUGUGGCCUGCAUUUGAAACUGUAGUUCUUGAGUACUGGGGAGGCAGACGGAAUUCCUAGUGUAGCGGUGAAAUGCGUAGAUAUUAGGAGGAACACCAGUGGCGAAGGCGGUCUGCUGGACAGCAACUGACGCUGAGGCGCGAAAGCGUGGGGAGCAAACAGG
rnacentral:rRNA from 1 species